GCUUACACAUGCAAGUCGAACGAUGAUCUCCAGCUUGCUGGGGGGAUUAGUGGCGAACGGGUGAGUAACACGUGAGUAACCUGCCCUUGACUCUGGGAUAAGCCUGGGAAACUGGGUCUAAUACCGGAUAUGACCUUCCAUCGCAUGGUGGUUGGUGGAAAGCUUUUGUGGUUUUGGAUGGACUCGCGGCCUAUCAGCUUGUUGGUGGGGUAAUGGCCUACCAAGGCGACGACGGGUAGCCGGCCUGAGAGGGUGACCGGCCACACUGGGACUGAGACACGGCCCAGACUCCUACGGGAGGCAGCAGUGGGGAAUAUUGCACAAUGGGCGCAAGCCUGAUGCAGCGACGCCGCGUGAGGGAUGACGGCCUUCGGGUUGUAAACCUCUUUCAGUAGGGAAGAAGCCACAAGGUGAGUGUAUGUGCAAAAAAAGCGCCGGCUAUAUAUGUGCCAGCACCCGCGAUAA
rnacentral:rRNA from 1 species